rnacentral:rRNA from 1 species
GAUGAACGCUGGCGGCGUGCCUAAUACAUGCAAGUCGAGCGACAGACGAGGAGCUUGCUCCUCUGACGUUCGCGGCGGACGGGAGAGUAACCCGUGGUUCACCUACCUAUAAAGAAGGGGUAACUUCGGGAAACCGGUGCCAAUACCGGAAAAAUUAAUCAACCGCAGGGGUCAAUAGUGAAAGACAGUUUGGCGGUCACGUAAUGAUGGACCAGCGCCGCAUUACCUAGCUGGUAAGGUAACCGCUUAACCAAGACACGAUGGGUAGCCCCCCUGAGAGGGUGGUCGCCCACCCUGGCACUGAGGCACGGUCCAGACUCCUACGGGAGGCAGCAGUCGGGAAUCUUCCGCGAUGGGCGAGAGCCUGACGGUGCAACGCCGCGUGAGGGAUGAAGGUCUUCGGAUCCUAAAGCUCUGUUAUUAGUGAAGAACAAAUGUGUAAUUACCUAUGCACGUCUUGACGGUACCUAAUCAGAAAGCCACGGCUAACUACGUG